GGAAAAUGAAAGCAGCUGCGUGCGGUUGUGUCGCGAGCAGCGGAGAUCAACCUCAAGUCAGCCACAAAAACCUAUCACACUUCCGGGCACAAUUCCCAAAAUAAAACAGUCACUGCUGAAUUUUUAAAAAGCGCUGCAUUGAGGCCACAAACCUCCUGUUUCACCUAAAUCUGCAGAUCUGAAGCCUGAAGCCUUGUCAGGCCACCCCAGCACCUUGAAAUGAAUUCUGCGAGGCGUAGAUUCAACAAGGUUCUGGAAACACCGCGUGGGGAUGCUGACUCGGUAACAACCAGCAGUGCAGAAUUGCCAUCUGGACCUCCAAUUGUCAUCAUGAGCAGAGAUCUGGAAACAUUUGGUCCCGGUUAUGAUCUCGGGGUUGUUUCUUUGUAACUUUGUGUGAUGGAUCCAGCUUGAGAUGAGUGGGGAAGCAUUACAUCAGUCAUUUGUUCAAAAGCAUGUAUUUUUUAAAUAAAUGAGUAUUCAGAGUGUAGCAGCAUUCACUUCUUGCUGAAUGUAAAUUUUACAGAUUGAUUAUGCAAUAUAAUUUUGUUGGUCUCAACAAAAUAUAACAUCACACAGCA